rnacentral:rRNA from 1 species
GUCUACGGCCAUGCCACCCUGAACAAGCCCGAUCCCGUCUGAUCUCAGAAGCUAAGCAGGGUCAGGCCUGGUUAGUACUUGGAUGGGAGAUCACCUAGGAAGACCAGGUGCUAUAGGAG